AGAGUUUGAUCCUGGCUCAGAUUGAACGCUGGCGGCAUGCCUUACACAUGCAAGUCGAACGGCAGCGCGGGAGCAAUCCUGGCGGCGAGUGGCGAACGGGUGAGUAAUACAUCGGAACGUGCCCAAUCGUGGGGGAUAACGCAGCGAAAAGCUGUGCUAAUACCGCAUACGCCCUACGGGGGAAAGAUCUUAGGACCUCUCACUAUUGGAGCGGGCGAUAUCAGUUUAGCUAGUUGGUGAAGUAAAGGCCUCACCAAGGCGACGAUCUGUAGCUGGUUGUGAGAGGACGACCAGCCACACUGGGACUGAGACACGGCCCAGACUCCUACGGGAGGCAGCAGUGGGGAAUUUUGGCCAAUGGGCGCAAGCUGAUCCAGCCAUGCCGCGUGAGUGAAGAAGGCCUUCGGGUUGUAAAGCUCUUUCGGCGGGGAAGAAAUCGCAUUCUCUAAUACAGGAUGUGGAUGACGGUACCCGAAU
rnacentral:rRNA from 1 species